UACAGAGGUGGCUAGCGUUGUUCGGAUUUACUGGGCGUAAAGGGUGCGUAGGCGGCUUCGUAAGUCGAAUGUGAAAGCCCGUCGCUCAACGACGGAAGUGCAUUGGAAACUGCGAGGCUUGAGUGCAGGAGGGGAGAGCGGAAUUCCUGGUGUAGCGGUGAAAUGCGUUGAGAUCAGGAAGAACGCCGGUGGCGAAGGCGGCUCUCUGGAAUGUAACUGACGCUGAGGCAAGAAAGCCAGGGGAGCAAACAGG
rnacentral:rRNA from 1 species